UUUGAGGGGAGAUUAAUAAUAAUAUGUCUUUUACUAUAAUAAUUUUUAAAAUGUAAACAUUCACUGUAUUUUGAGAUCACUCCUCAUAUUUAUAGUUGUUUUACUGUUAUUCAAAGUAACCUUAGGAAAAGUGCAUAUUUGGAUACAUACAGCAGACACUGUGAUCCUGAAACGGAUCCUGGGCUGCAGCAAACACAGGGAUGGAAGCUGUCAUGUUGCUGAGCUUGUCUAUACCACACUAGCCAUCACUGUAGUCACCAGAUGUCUACAGCUGUUGACCCUAUCAUAUGAGACUAGUCCCGUUGGAGAGGUGCUGUAGAUAUAAAAUACACGCUAGGUUUUGAACUCUUAGGACAGAAAAAAGGAUAUGAUGUUUUCUCAUCGGUCACUUUUAUGUAGGGUACAAGUUGAAAUGGUCAUCUUUUCUGUAUAUCAGAUUAAACAAAAGACAUUAUCAGCAUUAAUUUUACCUGUUUAAGAUUACAUAGUUGGUUCACAUUAUAUUUCUUUUGGACAGCACCAGACAGUAGGAUACCUUCCAUGCCAAGACAUCAUGGGAAAGCCCGGAGCAUUUUGAUUCUAACCUCAGAGCCUUUGCCCACACUGUCUUCUCUGCCUGGGAUGCUUUUCCUUCUGAGCUUAGCCUGGUUGGCUUCCGGUAUCACUGAAGUCUCAGUUCUAAGCUUACCUGUUCCAAGAAGCUCUUCCUGACCACCACCCAAAAGAGACCCUUGGUCAUGCCUAACCACGGUCUUUGUUUUGUUUCUUCAUGGCACUUCCCAUGGCUUCAUGUGCCCUUGUUUAUUUGUUUACCGUUACUUGUAGGUCAUCUGGCAUACACACCCUCUGAAAUGGAAGCUCAAGAAUAAGAAUUUCAAUUGUCUGGUUAUUGUUAGUACCCCUAAUGCUUGGAAUAAAAGGAGCUCAUUAAAUGUUGGGUGGAUAAAAGGGUGGGGGUGGUGGAUGGAUGGAUGGAUGGAUGGAUGGAGAGAAGGAUAUAUUGCUGAGUGAGUGGUUACAUGAAUGAAUGAGUGGAUGGGUGGAUGAUGGAGAAGAAUUAAGGGUUGAGGGGUGAAUGGAUAGAUGGAUGAAUAAAUGUGAAUGGGGGAAUAAAAGUGGGUGGAUAGAUGUGUCAAGGUGGACUAAAAUUUAUUUUUCAGUCAUUUCCACCAGAGUGAGAUUUCUUUUCUGUUUCCUAGGUCUUGAAAGGGGACUAUAAAACACCAGCCAAUCUGAAAGGAUAUUUUCAGGUGAACCAGAACAGCACCUCCCACGUAGGAAGCUCGUGAUUUCCAGGUAGGCCUGCUCACCUCACUGGAGGCUCUUGGUGUUUCUGAUCCUGCACACCACCUUUCCGAAUGCCUGUCCUUCAGAAGCCUGCCUGGGGAGAAGUGUCCACCAAGGUGGGCUGACCCAGCCCCAUCAGAGGUUUCCAUGGUGACAGCUGAGGGAUCUAUUUAUAGAAUGGAGGCUUAGUCUCCUAGCUCUGGAUCCAGGAUGGGGGCAGGGAUUGAUGCUGAGCCAAUAAGAAGGUUUGUCCAGACAGGGGGAGGGGGCCAGAAGGGCCACUGGAGGGGAUUCUGUACCAGUACCGCACAGAAUGCUGCCUGCCAAUCCGGCUUCUAUAAUGAGCAUCAGGUCUGGCCCAAAGCAAUUAAUGUUCCAAUAAUAGCUGUAGGCAGACCUGUUCUAAGAAUAAUACCUAAGGCACCAGGCCAGGUACUCCCCUGUGUCCCUCACUUAAUUCUCAGUGUCCCUGGGAGCCAGGGGACACAGUCCUGCCAUUUUACAGAGGAGCAAACCAAAGUACACAGAAGGCCUUUGACUUCUCCAAGACUAGACAGGCACCAAAUGGCAGAAUUGCUCUAGAAGUCAUCUCCCCCAGAGUUUGCUUUUAAGUGCAUGUUUAUCCUUCUGUUUUAAAAGAGGUAAGAAAAGGGAUUUUGAACUUGGGAAUUUUAAGAUAGAAGAGCUGGAGGUUUAAUGCCUCUCAGGCUCUGUUUUCCUCAGUGCCUCCCUCCAAAGUUGCUCACGGGACACAGGGAGCUGGCCCAGGUGGGACCACCCAGAAACUGUAAAGUGCUGGCCGCUUGCUGUGGACUUGGGCACUGGAGUUAAGGGUCCAGUGAGUGAGCUCAUAUCCCCAACCUCUUGAAUCAGGCUUAGGGAAACUGAGGGAACCCCUCAGAGAGUCACGGGUCAGGAACGAUUUGUACUUUCCUUUUUUUUUUUUUCUUCAGUGCUAAGGAUGAAAUCCAGGGCCUUGUGUGCAUGGUAUGCCAGUGCUCUACCACUGAGCUACCCCUCAGUCCUGCCUAUAAUUUUUAAAUGAAGCAGAGCUUCUAGCCUGGCCUGAUUUUAGUAUCCUCAUCUUACUUUUACUGUCAUUCUCAGGGUUCCCAUGGUGAGUUCCUGAAGAUCCUGAGAUCCUGAAGUUCUGUUUAAUCCCAAAAUGACCCCUCUUUGAAAACAAGUGUUCUCCGUGUUUCUCCCUAACCUUAUUCCUCUCACUCACUUUCUACAAAUGCAUUACUAGACUCUUGGGCCUUCUCAUUUGUAAACCCAGGUUUAUCCUUGAUUUACUGUUUUAGUAAGAUGCCAUCUACAUGGUGAAUGAGCAAACCCCUGACACAGAGUGGGCCUUGAAUAAAUGCUAAUCAUUCUCUUUCCUCCAAAAAUUUAUUGGUGUUGAUCCCAUAACCACUGCCAUUUGCUCCAUAUAAAUAACUAAAGUGGCUCUUUGAAGGUCAGAUGGAUGCAGGUUGAGAUGUGGGUAAGAACCCCAGGAAUAUUUUUAAAUUUGUCCAUCUGGGAUGCAGAUAUAAAACCUUGCAUGCUUAUGGGGAUGGAUGAAGACGAUCUGUUCCACAAGCACACAUAAAUAUGAAAGCUCUAUUUCAGAACUGUUAAUCCAUGCCUAAUGCAGUAUCCCCUCUUUCAGAUCUCUGCAAAUGGCUUUCUUGCCAAGAAGAGAAGAAGCCACAUUCCAGUGGAAAUCAGGCCUCUAAUCCAAGCAUAUUGCUUGCUAUUAAUUGCCAAAACAGGACUGCUAAUGAGGAAUGUAUUUGCAUAUGUGUGCAAAAGCUGAAUCAUUGAAAAUGUUCCUUGAAACUCUCUUUGGACAUUCCCAGCUAGAGAGCGAAGAGUGUGAAAAGUAGUCUGGUUUUUGAAACUUAGGUAUUUCAUAUUUUUCCCCUCAAGAACUUUUUUAAAGAAAUGGAUUUGCCAUCCUCCUUAAUUUUCAGGACUGCCUUGGUGGCUUUGUUUGCUGAGACAAGGCCCACAACCUGUGCCUCGCCUGUUAACCCUUACUUUGAAUUCAAAGAAUCUAUUUAAGAAUCUAAUAUAUGAGACUUUCUUUGAUUUCUCCUCAUUCUACUCAGCUUAACAGAGAUAAAGAAAUUAUUUGAAUAAACUGAACAGAGGC
ensembl:lncRNA